UACAGAGGGUGCGAGCGUUGUCCGGAAUCACUGGGCGUAAAGGGCGCGUAGGCGGCCUGGUAAGUACGGGGUGAAAUCUCACGGCUCAACCGUGAGGCUGCCUCGUAGACUGCCGGGCUCGAGCAGAGCAGAGGCUAGCGGAAUUCCCGGUGUAGCGGUGGAAUGCGUAGAGAUCGGGAAGAACAUCGGUGGCGAAGGCGGCUAGCUGGGCUCUUGCUGACGCUGAUGCGCGACAGCGUGGGGAGCAAACAGG
rnacentral:rRNA from 1 species